ACAGAUGAAGCAUUACUAUGCUGAGAAGACAGUGCCAUGUGAAAGCCUGCCAGACAACCCAGACGGAGUGCCAUGAAGAGCUGUCUAAUUACAAGACCUGAUGGCUGUGUAUUUGGAAGUUCACAGACUUGAAGAUCAGAAUGAAACAGAAAUUGAUUCUAGUCCUAGAAGAGGAAAGGAGGAAUACCCUAACAAGGUAUGCUUGGCUUACCUUCUCAGCUCCCAUGGUCUCUCUACCUCCCUAGAAAACCAACUGCUGGGAGCUAUAUGCAUAACAUACAGGCAUACUAGGAUGCCUAGCAGGCAGUGUGCAGUAAAUAAAGGAGGGAACAGAGAGAAGGUAGCAGAAAUGUAGAAAGAGAUGUAGUAGAGGUAAGAGCAUGGAGCCUAGAAAAAUAUCUUUGGAUGUGAAAGGAAGUGAGGGUAGGAAAUAGAAAACAAUAAUAAGGCUGUAGACUGGAAUCAAAUAAUGACUACAUCUGGAAAUGGGGACAUUCAUGAAAGAAACUGUUCUGUGCCCUAUUCCCAUUUUCAUCUCUAGACUAGGUGUCUGUUUAGGUGAUGUCUCCCAUGACAUAAGGAUUUACUUCAAGUACUCUAUAAUGUAACAGUUUUGGCAGAUGGAAAGCUGCAAUUCUCCUUGGAAAAGCUAAUCCAUUGAAAAGAGCAUGGUAGUUGAACAAUAACUCCCCAGAAAUUCUACAACAAUUGACUCAGGAGAAGUUUAGUUAUAGAUUAACCCCAGAUAAGGGGAUUGAUUGGUUAGGUAAACUAAACAUCAAUUCAGUUUAACCCAG
rnacentral:lncRNA from 1 species